GGUUUAGGGGUGGAUCUGACGUCCCUGAGUAUAUGUGGUGAACCGGAAUUUGCCUGGGGUUUCCUCAUAUUCAUUCAGGAGUGUCAGUUCUCCCUGCGC
ensembl:miRNA